rfam:Escherichia hermannii NBRC 105704 DNA, contig: EH10570401.
AGGCGAUUUCAGCCUGCAUUAAUGCCAACUUUUAGCGCACGGCUCUCUCCCAAGAGCCAUUUCCCUGGACCGAAUACAGGAAUCGUAUUCGGUCUUUUUUU